ACGCUCGACACCUAUGGGAGGCAGCAGUGGGGAAUAUUGCACAAUGGGGGAAACCCUGAUGCAGCAACGCCGCGUGAAGGAAGACGGUUUUCGGAUUGUAAACUUCUGUUCUCAGUGAAGAUAGUGACGGUAGCUAAGGAGCAAGCCACGGCUAACUACGUGCCAGUAGCCGCGGUAAUCUGAGCGGGCUGGCAAGGC
rnacentral:rRNA from 1 species